CACACGAUUUCGUUGACGUGUUGUUCGUCAUCUGUACCGACCGAACGAAGGAAGAAAAAAACGGCAAGAAACAGCGCCGUAGCGGCACAUCGGAAGCGGAAAUUCGUGACGAGCCUCCGAGAAUGUGUUGGUGAAAAUACCGGUGCCUCGGUUAGGUCGCGAUCUAGUGGCGCAGUAGCCCAAACCACAUCAAAUAAGCAAGAGAAACUUUCGGUUAAACGCGCUAGAAGUGGCCGCUGCUGCUGGCGCCAUCGUCAUCGCUGCGUCGAAUCGGUUGAAGCACCGCGAAGAUAAGCAGCCGGCCUCCAACUUCCCCCCCAAAAACAACCCAGGUAACCCGCUGUGGUACACCACCUGGCCUGGUGGGACAACCAAUACCAAACCAGUCCGAGCGAACGACCGAGUUCCAACCCAAACACCAUCAUUCCCCGUGUUUCCCACCGCCCGUGUGGCCUCUACAGUACCGACUACGAGGGAGCCAGCCUAAACCAGGUCGCUUGAAAGAUGUCCCCGCAAAGCGUAAAACUAGUGUUCUUUCAUUACCUCCUGGUUGUUUGUGUGUUCUACAAUCCCACGGACAGCGGGGCAGUGAAGCUGACCAGCGAGAACAUCGACAUGACGCUCGCUUCCAACGAGCUAGUGCUGAUAAAUUUCUACGCCGAUUGGUGUCGGUUCAGUAACAUUCUGCAGCCAAUUUUCGAUGAAGCAGCAGAAAAGGUUCAGGCAGCAUUUCCCGAGCCGGGCAAGGUGGUGAUGGGAAAGGUGGACUGCGAUCGAGAAUCGGCGGUCGCCUCGCGGUUUCACAUCUCCAAAUACCCCACACUGAAGGUACUGCGCAACGGACAGCCAACGAAGCGGGAGUAUCGAGGCGCCCGGACCGUGGAAGCAUUUACCGAGUUCAUCAAGAAGCAGCUGGAGGAUCCGAUUCGCGAGUUCCAAAACAUUAAGGAUUUGGAGCAGCUCGAUUCGAAGAAGCGCAUCGUUGUCGGGUACUUCGAUCGUCGCGAUAUGCCGGAGUACAACACGUUCCGGCGGGUUGCAACCAACCUGAAAGAGGAUUGCCAGUUCCAUGUCGGCUUUGGAGAGGUGGUGCAAGCAUUACACCCUCCAGGUCACCCGAUAAUCGUUUUCCGGCCCGAUGUCGCUGUUUCGAACGAGAACGAUGAAACGUACACCGGUGAUCUGCGCAACUUCGACGAGUUGAACGUCUGGGUACAGGAGAAGUGUGUACCGCUGGUGCGAGAGAUCACGUUCGAGAACGCGGAAGAGCUGACCGAGGAAGGUCUACCGUUCCUAAUUCUAUUCUAUGCGCCCGACGAUAUCGACUCCAUCAAAGACUUCAAGGCAAUCGUGCAAAUGGAUCUCAUCUCAGAAAAGCAAAACGUGAACUUCCUCACCGCCGACGGAAAGCGGUUCGCCCAUCCGCUGCAUCAUCUCGGCAAAACGCAGGCCGAUCUGCCGCUGAUCGCCAUUGAUUCGUUCCGGCACAUGUACUUAUUUCCCAACUUCAAAGACAUUUACGUGCCCGGGAAGCUGCGGCAGUUCCUCAACGAUCUAUACAGCGGAAAGCUGCACCGUGAAUUCCACUACGGGCCCGAGAAGGAUACGGUGGUGGAGGCGAUAGCGAGCGACGACAGCAAAAAACCAACGACACCGCCAGAGUCGACGUUCAAAAACCUUGGCCCCUCCAAGAAUCGCUAUACGCUGCUUCGUGACGAGUUGUAGGACCUCCCUUUGGAGGACCUAUACGCAGAAUGUCCUGGUGGUGCAGCACUUUGUUUUCGGCGAACGGAAUGGGCGAUACCGCUGCGCUGCAUCGCAUACCGCGGGGCGUGCACUGGGCGUUCAAGGUUCAGUGAGUUUAAAAAUUCACAAAAUCUGAAUUUAGUCAAUCAAUCGGUGCAUGAUGGAGGAAUAAAAACGAAUAAGUGAUGGAGGAAUAAAAACGGAGCGGAGUUCGCAAAUCGAAUGCAAAUGUAAUAUUAGGAGCCUAGAGACAGUAAUGCGCGCGGAUUAACAAUUGUGCCCAAAGAACCGAGUGACGAAGCAAAACCAUCCUGUUACGUUUUUUUUUUUAAUUCAAUGCCAGGCUCCACGAACGAAGGGAACCAUGUCCAGUGGGUGGGGCCGAUUUUGCGAUAGGGAUUUAUUUAUGUUUCUUUUAACCAAUCGACGUCAUUCCCCCUUGCUCUGCCCUGCUUGUUUUAUUCUUCCCUUUUAAUCAGCAAACUUUAAACUUUGAAACCGAUAGCUUUCCUCUCCUCCGCCUAUCGUCGCUACGCCGAUCCGAGAGCGAUCGUUCCAAUGCCCCGGAAGCGGUUAACCGACAGAGGAACACUGGUGUGUUUGGUCUGUUUGAUCAGAUUGGAGUUUUAUGACGUAGCCCGUAGCCACUUUCAGGAUAAACAUUUUAACAAAUUUCUUCCGCUCCUAUCUCACUUCUCGAUCUUUUGCAAAAAGCAAAACAAAACAAAACAAAAUAAAACAAAUGAAACGGAGCAGAAAUUUUCGGCAAAACAAACCAACCAACCAGCCAGCCAGCAACAUUAACUAAAAUUUCGGGAGCAGCAGGUGUGAAAAUACAAUUGUGCGCGUGCUCAGUGGUGCGUGCUCAGUGAUUAAAUAAAUACCAUUCAAAUCGAUAUACAACGAAACUCGAACGUAAAAAC